rnacentral:rRNA from 1 species
GUCCACGCAGUAAACGAUGAAUACUAGCUGUAUGCGAUAUACUGUAUGUGGCAAAGCGAAAGCGUUAAGUAUUCCACCUGGGGAGUACGUUCGCAAGAAUGAAACUCAAAGGAAUUGACGGGGGCCCGCACAAGCGGAGGAACAUGUGGUUUAAUUCGAUGAUACGCGAGGAACCUUACCCGGGCUUGAAAUGCAUCUGACCGACUUGGAAACAGGUCUUCUAGCAAUAGCAGAUGUGUAGGUGCUGCAUGGUUGUCGU